rnacentral:rRNA from 1 species
GUCUAUGGCCAUGCCACUCAGAAUGUACUUAAUCUCAUCUGCUCUUAGAAGCUAGGUAGGAUUGAGCCUGAUUACUGCUUGGAUGGGAGACUGCCAGGGAAUACUGGGUGCACUAGACU